rnacentral:rRNA from 1 species
GAUGAACGCUAGCGGCAGGCCUAAUACAUGCAAGUCAAGGGGCUCGCAAGAGCACCGGCGGACGGGUGCGUAACGCGUACAGAACGUGCCUUUGGGCGGGGGAUAGCAUUGGGAAACUGGUGGUAAUACCCCAUGGUAUUCUGGGUUGGCAUCGACCUGGGAUUAAAGUUUCGGCGCCCAAAGAUCGCUGUGCGUCCGAUUAGCUAGUUGGCGGGGUAACGGCCCACCAAGGCGACGAUCGGUAGGGGGUGUGAGAGCAUGACCCCCCACACGGGGACGUGAGACACGGCCCCGACCUCCUACGGGAGGCAGCAGUGAGGGAUAUUGGGCAAUGGGGGCGAACCCUGACCCAGCGACGCCGCGUGGAGGACGAAGGGCUUCGGCUCGUAAACUCCUUUUCCCGCUGACGAGACAAGGACGGUAGGCGGGGAAUAAGUCUCGGCUAACUACGUGCCAGCCGCCGCAGUAAU